UACGAAGGGGGCUAGCGUUGUUCGGAAUCACUGGGCGUAAAGCGCACGUUGGCGGAUCUUUAAGUCAGGGGUGAAAUCCCGAGGCUCAACCUCGGAACUGCCUUUGAUACUGGGGAUCUCGAGUCCGGGAGAGGUGAGUGGAACUGCGAGUGUAGAGGUGAAAUUCGUAGAUAUUCGCAAGAACACCAGUGGCGAAGGCGGCUCACUGGCCCGGAACUGACGCUGAGGUGCGAAAGCGUGGGGAGCAAACAGG
rnacentral:rRNA from 1 species